UUGAUCAGGAUAUCAGAUAUAUCCAAUUCUUCAACAAAGAGACUUUUGCCUGGGCCAUAUUCACCUAGAAAGGGUCACAACAAAGAAAACCGCGUGAUGCUUGUGACUAUCACUAAAUAUCCAAAUGAUAUGGCGAGCAGCGAUAUUAAUUUGCCGGUUUGCAAGCCAAAGUUAAAGAAGCCAAACAAGAUCAGCUUCAGGCAAAAAUGGCAGAACUAGAGGAUAGGAACAUCCGAUGCAGCCUUCACAUUGUUAACUUGCAUGCGAAUGCUGAAGGAUACAAUUUGGUAGGCUGGUGAAACUGGCGAGUCAACUAACCAGGAAACUGAGGAAGAAGAAGCGGGAAGACAAGACAAUGGUGGAACGUAUGGCGGCGUUCUGAAAGAAUAGCGAUACAUUUCUAGGGUGAUGGAAGAAGGGUAGGCAGUCGAAGUCGUUAUAAGACAGUGUCGGGUUAUUUUCGAUGGGUGAAGAAGACGAGCCUACACAUUUCUCUGAAGUAUCACUGGAAAACAGCGUUGCCAGUGUACAAACGCCACGGUUGUGUCUCCCCCUCCCAUUGGCUGCCACCGUGCAGCACCCGGGGUGCAAUGUGGGGUAGUGCCUUGCCCAGGGGUGCAAUGGCUGUGUGGAUCUUAUUGUGGCUACACCAGGGCUUCAACCACGAACCUUCCAGGUCCCAGUCAUGUACCUCAACCACUACGCUACAGGCUGCCCCAUUCUCAUCCCUCUACGUUGGAACAUCUUCGCUCAAUCAAACAGGAAGGUGGCACAGGUGGUGCAGUGGGUAUCCUCACAGUAGCCUCACAGCAAGGAGGUCCUGGGUUCGAAUCCCCGUCGGCUGGGGCCUCUCUGUGCGGAGUUUGCAUAUUCUCCUUG